rnacentral:lncRNA from 1 species
AAAGUCCCUGUGUGUCAACCUCUGUGCCUCGUGGCAAGGUAGACUAGCAAACAUGCCCAACCUUUACUCACAUUCGAGAAAACACUCCCAAUAAGAUUGCUUGCUCCAAAAUCGAAGAGGCACCGUCUUCCGAAUCUCGAGAGCCAGACUCGCAACAUGAUUACUUUCUCAAAAAUCGAAGAGAGGGUAAAGGAAUAGUACCAUUGCUGGAUAAUUGGAAAGUCCCUGUGUGUCAACCUCUGUGCUUUGUGGCAAGGUAGACUAGCAAACAUGCCCAACCUUUACUCACAUUCGAGAAAACACUUCCAACAAGAUUGCUUGCUCCAAAAUCGAAGAGGCACCGCCCUCCGAAUCUCGAGAGCCAGACUCCCAACAUGAUUACUUUCUCAAAAAUCGAAGAGACACUGCUCCCCGAAUCUCGAGAGCCAGACCCC